GAGUUAGAGAAUGAAUAGCUAUUUUGCAAAACUUUAUAAUUCAAUUCAAUAGCAAUUUGAAAAGGUUCAAAUUUGAAAUCUUUUCCAAAAUCAGCUUUUGACAUAUGAAAAAUCAAAUUUCAUGAAUCUAUUAUCUAUUACCAAAAAGAAAACCUUCUAACAUUUUGUUAAAACUUAUUUGCAACAACAAUGCUAAUCGUGCUCCAAGUAAACUGGUUAAAGUCCUACAUAUGAGAUAUGAGAAAAUACUUGUAAUUAUACAUAAUACCUGAUGUCCAAGCUAAUCAAUAAAUUACUAAUGUUUCAUGAUUUGGAUACAACUAGAAGAAAUUAAGUAGACCAAGAGAAAAUAUGAAUAGCAGCCACAUUCAGCAUGUGUAUGCUUUAAAUAACAGUUUCUUAGGGAGAAAAGAUGAGUUCAGAUUUUGCAUAAUCAUCAGACCACACAAACUCAUGUAUAGAAGACCAGCCAAUGCAAAAAUCAACAAAAGGUUAGAAGUGAAAAUGAAUUGCAGAUAUAUCAGAAUGAUGAAAUAUUCACCAGCUGACUCAGCUGAGCCAUCACCAAGAGUAAGUUUUCUAUCCAAGACCUCACUUGCGCAGGAAUGUAAUAUAUUAACAGAACCUGAAGAUGGCACUCCUGUAGGUAUUAUUUUGGUGCAAGAGUUACUCCCUAGCAGAUCAUCUGAGUUUGGGGACAAUACCCAAAAACUUAGAUCUUUAUUGUCUAGGAUAACACUAUUGGACAUCUCAAGCUUAAGUUGCAUUUCCUCAGCAUGAUUUUCCAUAAUCCCAGCAUUAACAGUUUCCUCCAAAGACAAAUCAUGUCGUGAGACCUUAACAGGUUGCCCAGAACAGGAAUGGACCCGACUCUCAUUGCAAGCUUCCUUUUCAAAGUGAUCUCCAUCAAUAUAAACCUCAUCAGUGUUUUGUGCUAAAGAAAAGUCAUAAGCUGCACCAUCCAUUGUAUCUAAAGAAGACUGUAGGAUCACUUCUUGCACAAGAUCGGAGCAAAAUUGCUUUAUGUUAGCACCCACUGUCUGCAACUGAUUUUCCGCAUAUUUUAAUUGUUCCUAUCCAAGAAUGCCUCCAAUUCUAAUGAAGCAGCAAGUAAGCAAGACAGAAGCAACAAAUUAACUUCAGCACAUUCAAACGAUGACACAGAUGAACAAUCUGAAUGGAGAUCCUGUCGCAUGAUAUCAUCUACCUCUAAAAUCAUAGCUUAAAGCGUGCGGAAUAUGCUUCCAACCCAGGCUAUCCCUUUACGUUUGUUAUCCAUAUCUGCCCUUUGUAGGCAGAAUCAACCAAUUAUAUUUUCUUCAUCUGAAAGAAGAAAACAGCUGCAGUCAGAUUAUUGAACAGUAUCAGGGUAGGAAGCAGAUAGAAUCCAUUGAACCCAACCAAGUUCAGCUAUCCCAAACAGUAAUUAAUUGAAAGGGGAAAACUUACCAUCAUCCAAAUUUUGAAAAAUAUAGAAAGUAUGAAAAAUUUUGAACUUCCCCAAGUUCUCAAGCAACGAGUCAGAGAUAAUCAACAACAAUAAAAGGAGAUAUUAGAAGAACAAAGAAUCAUAAAACUUAUAUGAUAAGCGCACAAAAAUU
rnacentral:misc_RNA from 1 species